GUGCAUGCUUGAAAGUAGAGGUUUAAUAAAAAUAAAUAAACUUCAAAGUAUAAUAUGCAUUAUUUGUACAUUUGAAUAAUAUAUUGAUUGAUUGUAAUCAUUUCAAGUGAGAUGUAUUCUGAGAAAAAACACUGUUGUUAAAUAAACCACAGUUUACAUAUUUCAACUCAGGUAGUAGAUGAGGUUCUAUGGAUGACUGCUAACCAAAUCCCCCCCUGGACGCACACAUGCACGCACACACACGGGAUGGUGUGCUACGGACCACUGCUAACCAAAUAAACCUCACCUUACCUUCCCAUUGUUUGGCUAAUAUAGGGUUGUAUUCAUAAGGCACCAAUUGAAAGAAAACAGAUUGAAACAGUAUGACUACAUGAUCUUACCCAAUAACAAACAUUUCUUUUUUUUAUCCCCUUGCAAAAAGUUGCUACAUUUUUUCUGCUGUGUGCCCUAAUGAACAUGACCCAGGUUUGCAUGUUGUCCAGACAGAGAUAAUAAUAAGAGGAUGAGAAGAAGAAGAUCCCAUCACACACACUGAGAGAGAGGAGAGGAGCGAGGAAUUCAGCAGAGGACAAGAUAGCCCUCUCAAUACAGAUCCAUGGAGUGGAGUAGGAGAGCUAUCCCUGUCUCUGCAGGACAGACCAACACCUUCCAGUGUAAUGAGAUGGAGGGUCGCUAUGUUGUUGUGGUCAUCCCUGACAGGAAGGAAUAUCUCACUCUGUGUGAGUUGGAAGUAUAUGGCACUCCUGCAGGUAAUCAUCUGUAACUGUCUUCACUCUUCACAUUCAUCACCAAGUCAAGUUUACAUUACUUUAAUAUAGUAGAACAUCAAUGUUCUGGAAGUAUAAUUAAUGUGCUUGCUGACAAUAAGAUUAUGCUAGAAUGUCACUGGUGUAGAGAGGAGUAUGCAGGAGGCAGU
rnacentral:lncRNA from 8 species